rnacentral:rRNA from 1 species
AGUGAACGCUGGCGGUAGGCCUAACACAUGCAAGUCGAACGGCAGCACAGGAGAGCUUGCUCUCUGGGUGGCGAGUGGCGGACGGGUGAGGAAUACAUCGGAAUCUACUCUGUCGUGGGGGAUAACGUAGGGAAACUUACGCUAAUACCGCAUACGACCUACGGGUGAAAGCAGGGGAUCUUCGGACCUUGCGCGAUUGAAUGAGCCGAUGUCGGAUUAGCUAGUUGGCGGGGUAAAGGCCCACCAAGGCGACGAUCCGUAGCUGGUCUGAGAGGAUGAUCAGCCACACUGGAACUGAGACACGGUCCAGACUCCUACGGGAGGCAGCAGUGGGGAAUAUUGGACAACGGGCGCAAGCCUGAUCCAGCCAUACCGCGUGGGUGAAGAAGGCCUCCGGGUUGUAAAGCCCUUUUGUUGGGAAAGAAAUCCAGCUGGCUAAUACCCGGUUGGGAUGACGGUACCCAAAGAAUAAGCACCGGCUAACUUCGUGCCAGCAGCCGCAGUAA